rnacentral:rRNA from 1 species
CCUACGGGUGGCAGCAGUGGGGAAUAUUGCACAAUGGGGGAAACCCUGAUGCAGCAACGCCGCGUGAGUGAAGAAGUAUUUCGGUAUGUAAAGCUCUAUCAGCAGGGAAGAAGAAAGACGGUACUUGACUAAGAAGCUCCGUCUAACUACGUCCCAGCAGCCGCGGUAAAGCGGAGGGGGGAAGCGUUAUCCGGAUUUAUUGGGUGUAAAGGGAGCGUAGAUGGCUGUGUAAGUCUGAAGUGAAAGCCCGUGGCUCAACCGUGGAACUGCUUUGGAAACUGUAUAGCUUGAGUACGGGAGAGGCAGGCGGAAUUCCUAGUGUAGCGGUGAAAUGCGUAGAUAUUAGGAGGAACACCAGUGGCGAAGGCAGGCUGCUGGACAGAAACUGACGUUGAGGCUCGAAAGCGUAGGGAGCAAACGGGAUUAGAUACCCGUGUAGUC